UAAUCCAGAUACUGAUCCUUUGAUUCAACAGUAAAGCAAAAUAUAAAAGUCUUCAUUAAACUAAUUGGACCAAUACUGUUGAAAACCAUGAUGGGCCUGUAUCUCAAUUCUAGCUCCAAACAUAGGAAGAUGAGAUCUGAGCCUUUUCAGUAACUACGAUUAUGGCAACAGUGGGCCACGUGACAGAAGGACCUGCCUGAUGCUGACUGGGCACAUUUGAGGAUAAGUCUUGAGCUGAAGAAGCCAAGCACUUGUAAAAGCUGUAAUGUAUUUGCCAAGUCUAAUAUUUU